AUGGCGGGCGUGGGCCUGUCGGCGGCCGCCGUGGGUUGGGUUCCGUGUCGGAGCUGGGUCUUCGCGUCUCUCGUCCCCCACGCUUGCAGGAAAAUGGCAUCACUCUCUUUCCUUAAUCGACCCGGCCUUCCAAACCUGGCGUACAAGAGUUUAAAAGGCAAAACACCGGGAAUUAUCUUCAUCCCUGGUUAUCUUUCUACUAUGAAUGGUACAAAAGCAUUGGCCAUUGAGGAAUUUUGCAAAUCUGUAGGUCACGCCUAUAUAAGGUUUGACUAUUCAGGAGUUGGAAAUUCAGAUGGUAACUUAAAAGAUUGCACUGUGGGGAAAUGGAGAAAAGAUGUGCUUUCUAUACUUGAUGAUAUAGCCAAAGGACCGCAGAUUCUAAUUGGUUCUAGUCUUGGUGGAUGGCUUAUGCUUCAUGCUGCAGUUGCACGGCCAGAAAAGGUUGUGGCUCUUAUUGGUGUAGCUACAGCUACAGAUGCUCUAGUGACACAGUUCCGUCAGCUUCCUGUUGAGGUACAAAAGGAAGUUGAGAUGAAAGGUGUUUGGUCCAUGCCAUCAAAAUACACUGAGGAAGGAUAUCAUCACAUUCAGUACAGUUUCAUUAAGGAAGCAGAGCACCAUUGCUUGUUACACAGCCCUAUUUCCGUGCACUGUCCUGUAAGAUUGCUCCAUGGCAUGAUGGAUGACGUAAUCCCUUGGCAUACGUCCAUGCAGGUUGCUGACCGACUACUUAGCACAGAUGUUGAUGUCAUCCUCAGGAAACACAGUGAUCAUGAAAUGAAGGAAAAGGCAGACAUUCAACUUCUUGUGUACACGAUUGACGAUUUAAUUGAGAAGCUCUCAUCCAUGCCACAAUAGAAGCCCAUUUUCAGUUGGUGUGUAAUGUGUCCAGAAGAGAGGGCUAACAAGGACCCUCAUAAGGCUUUUUCCUCUCACUUCUAUUUUGUAAAUAUAAGUAUUUAUUUAAUGAUGUCUCUGCACAGUAAAUACAAAUGAAAUGACAGUAUCUGCUACUGUGGCUGCUGUUGGGAAAAUUUUCUCCUGCAAUUUUUGAUAUUUUUUUUUCCAUUAAAACAUUUCCUUUUUUAAAAAACACAGGACAUGUUUAUCUUAUUCAUAUGUUAACUUUUGUCAUCCUUUGUGUUCUCUCCUCUUUAGAAUUACAAUAAAGCUUUAAUAUUUUC